UGCAAGGGCACUCUGUGUUUUUCAUUAUCAAUAUGAUCUCACAAUUUGUUACCUUGCUAUAAAAAAACCAUCAAACCCUAUUCCAGAUUACCCGCAUAUCGUAAUUUGGUCAUAUUGAUGGUGACAUUUC
rfam:Papilio xuthus contig12506, whole genome shotgun sequence.